CCACGCUUGUUUCUCUCUUUCCAGGGCCUCUUGGAGGGCAACUACUUCGGCCGUCUUUUCUUUGAGGCGAGCAACCUCGGCCUGGCAGCGCUCCUCCACCUGGACGAUGUUCCUCCUCGCAUGAUUCGUUGCCUCGAUAUUGGCGAGGAGCUGGUGCCCAAUCUACAAGGACGGCUAGGGGAUCAGAACAAGGGCCGAAUAGUCGGGUAAAUGAAGAUUUGCUUACCUCAAGGAAGGACCCUAAAGAGUCCCAGACCCGCUGCUC
rnacentral:lncRNA from 1 species